rnacentral:miRNA from 1 species
GCAGACACAUUCCAGCCAAUCAGCAGCAGACCCUCCCUCCCAGACCCUCCCACCUCCUGGACAGCAUCCAUUUUACAUUCAUUGUGAAGCUGCAUUCUUAGUGAGCUGUCCAGGAGGUGGGAGGGUCUGGGAGAGAGGGUCUGCUGCUGAUUGGCUAGAAUGUGUCG